rnacentral:rRNA from 1 species
GAUGAACGCUAGCGGCAGGCUUAAUACAUGCAAGUCGAACGGUAUAAGUGGUAGCAAUAUUGCUUAGAGAGUGACGUACGGGUGCGUAACACGUAUGCAACCUACCCAAAACAGGAGGAUAGCUCGGGGAAACUCGAAUUAACCCUUCAUAGUAUCAUUAGGUGGCAUCACCAGAUGAUUAAAACUGAGGUGGUUUUGGAUGGGCAUGCGUCAGAUUAGUUAGUUGGCGGGGUAACGGCCCACCAAGACGAUGAUCAGUAGGGGAACUGAGAGGUUGAUCCCCCACACUGGCACUGAGAUACGGGCCAGACUCCUACGGGAGGCAGCAGUAGGGAAUAUUGGUCAAUGGGUGAGAGCCUGAACCAGCCAUGCCGCGUGCAGGAAGACGGCCUUCUGGGUUGCAAACUGCUUUUGCCAGGGGAUAAAAAUACCUUGCGAGGUAAAU